rnacentral:lncRNA from 1 species
AACACGUUGAUCCAGUUGGCGGAAAGUAUUACAGUACAGAACCUCACUGUAACUACAGCUUGAGGACUGUUCAUGAGAAAAGGCAGUUGAAACUGCGUGGACUUUUGAAAGUGCAAGCAUAAGAAGGUAUCUGAAGUUUUGAAAAUCUAAGCAAAGAGUGAGACCCCAAGAAUAUAAGUGAAGUUUCCAUUAAAAUACCAGAUAUUGAACAUCAUACAUAAAUGCUUAG